UAUCUUCUCUUUCUUCUUUUCUAAUGCUCUCUUUUUUAACCUUCCAUCGUCAUUAUCGCUCUCGUAUUUUUUUAAGAUUAGAGUUGUGAUCAGGCGAUGGAACUUGCACGAGGCAAAACCUACAUAAUUUUGAAAUGAUUUUGAAUUUUAUAAAACGAGGAGGAAACUAGCCACGCGAUUGGUUAAAUUACGAAACAUUUGCCGCGAACCGUCGCAGAAAUCGAAUAUGAUGCUUCUGAGUAGUAUUUUGUUACGUCAUCAGUGCUUCGUGCAGUAGCUUUCGCAAUUUUGCGACAAGCUUGAGACACGUUCGGUGUAUUACAGUGUAUUAUAAGUUCGUAGCGCUUGGAGGCGGUAGGACGUGUUUUCCCGUCUCUUAAAUUCAACUUGCCGAGCUAAUUUUGUCGUAGAAUUGGUUUUAUUGUUUUUUACGCCUGAAAGAUUAGCCAGCAAUUGAGAGAUUGGAACUGAUAUCCAUCCUUUGCUUACUUAAAAGAUAAGUCGUAUCGUAUGGUGUUUUAGCUGUUAACUUUUCAUCUUGGAGGCUCUUGCAGUUAAUUAAGGGACGUUAGAAGAACUCCAGAUACAAUUAAAUUGUGUCUGUUCUCAUUGGCUCCAAAAAGUGACUGUUUUUAUGGUCAUAAAGAAAGCGUGAAAGUGCC